GACAGAGGCCUCGAGCGUUUAGGCGGAAUCACUGGGCUUAAAGCGUGUGUAGGCGGAAGAGUAAGUACCUUGUGAAAUCCCACGACUCACCCGUGGAACCGCUGGGUAUACUGCUCUUCUUGGGCCACUCAGGGGCGACUGGAACAAGCGGUGGAGCGGUGAAAUGCGUAGAUAUCGCUUGGAACGCCGAAGGUGAAAACAGGUCGCUGGGAGUGCGCCGACGCUGAGACACGAAAGCCAGGGGAGCAAACGGG
rnacentral:rRNA from 1 species